rnacentral:lncRNA from 1 species
ACUACUCUUCGCAACAAACUCCGCCUGACUCUGGGCAGUCCACUGCCAGACGGUUACAGAUGUCGCUAUCAGUCUACUACCCUCCUUUUUCGCCUAUAAAAGGGGACCCCAGAUACGUUAUUCUAUAAGCUCUCAUUUUUUACCUAGAAACUUUGUAAAAAUUUCCGUUCGAGCACUCCAUUCUUGUUGAGGCAGAGAACUGACUUGAGCGUCGGAGGGUCUUGCCGGAGUAACCCCACCUCCGGUUUAGACUUCUUUUGCAGGUCCCGAUGGCGACCGUGACUCCCUCGACUCCAGCUUCUCCGGCGCAAGCGAAUUUUUGCACCAACAGGAU